GCAGUAUUCCCUCCGUCCCAAAAUUCUUGUCUUACAUUUGUUUAGAUACGGAUGUAUCUAACACUAAAAUGUAACUAGAUACAUCCGUAUUUAGACAAAUUUAAGACAAGAAUUUUGGGACGGAGGGAGUACAAA
rnacentral:pre_miRNA from 1 species